AGAGUUUGAUCAUGGCUCAGAUUGAACGCUGGCGGCAGGCCUAACACAUGCAAGUCGAGCGGUAGAGAGAAGCUUGCUUCUCUUGAGAGCGGCGGACGGGUGAGUAAUGCCUAGGAAUCUGCCUGGUAGUGGGGGAUAACGUUCGGAAACGGACGCUAAUACCGCAUACGUCCUACGGGAGAAAGCAGGGGACCUUCGGGCCUUGCGCUAUCAGAUGAGCCUAGGUCGGAUUAGCUAGUUGGUGAGGUAAUGGCUCACCAAGGCGACGAUCCGUAACUGGUCUGAGAGGAUGAUCAGUCACACUGGAACUGAGACACGGUCCAGACUCCUACGGGAGGCAGCAGUGGGGAAUAUUGGACAAUGGGCGAAAGCCUGAUCCAGCCAUGCCGCGUGUGUGAAGAAGGUCUUCGGAUUGUAAAGCACUUUAAGUUGGGAGGAAGGGUUGUAGAUUAAUACUCUGCAAUUUUGACGUUACCGACAGAAUAAGCACCGGCUAACUCUGUGCCAGCAGCCGCGGUAAUACAGAGGGCGCAAGCGUUAAUCGGAAUUACUGGGCGUAAAGCGCGCGUAGGUGGUUUGUUAAGUUGGAUGUGAAAUCCCCGGGCUCAACCUGGGAACUGCAUUCAAAACUGACUGACUAGAGUAUGGUAGAGGGUGGUGGAAUUUCCUGUGUAGCGGUGAAAUGCGUAGAUAUAGGAAGGAACACCAGUGGCGAAGGCGACCACCUGGACUAAUACUGACACUGAGGUGCGAAAGCGUGGGGAGCAAACAGGAUUAGAUACCCUGGUAGUCC
rnacentral:rRNA from 1 species